rnacentral:lncRNA from 1 species
CCGGUCAAGCCAAUAGCUAUCGAGAGUAGACAGGUACUUGGACUUCGUUGUCUAAGAAAACAGGUUACUAAGCUUUAUCCAUAGUUGCCUUCUGAUUAUGCUCAGGGUGUGGCAACAUUUUCCCUGGCAAGAGGAGCAAUCUCCUCUCCUUCAAUGCCAGGUUCACUGCCAGCCACCCCGAGGCUCAACAACAUCUUCUCCCACAACCUUGAUGGUCCCUGCACAAAUCAAUAAAUUUCCAUUUAAACCUCAAAGAACUAGAGAUGCGUAUUCGUUUCUCCCUAGAACUCUAAAUUAGCUACAUUAUCCACCAUAUGCAAGACAAGCUUCCUACACGAGCUACUAACCUUCCAUGAAAAAUCUUGUGCCAUACAAUUCUGGAUCAUUUCUUUCAGUGCUUGAGUCCCAUAUGUUGCAAGAGCUCUCUUGACAGUUUUUACCACCUUAAUCACAUCACUUGGAUCCACUUCAUCACACUGCAAACACAUCCCAUUGAGAUGAAUGAUCUUCCCAUAAAAGGUGGAUGAGAUAAAUAUAAAUAUAUCAUUCACGGAGCUUCACACAAAGACAAAUCAUUUUUACUACUUACUUCAACAUUGAAAGCUCCCAUUUGGAACCCUGUGAAUCCUUCCUUGACCGUGUCAACAAGUCCACCAGUAGAGGCAACUAUCGGAACCUAUAGCACAAAACCGAUAGCGUAUCGAGGUUAAUCCGGUACAAUGAGACUAAGAUUAACAUAACAUAGUGCUUAUGACAUCAAAUCAGUUGGUUGCCGGAAAGAGAUGGCCAGAAGCAUUUACAGUUCCAUAUCGCAUAGCAUGCAGCUGAAUGAGACCGCACGGUUCGAAUCUACUAGGGACCAAAAUGUAGUCAGCACCAGCAAUAAUCAUAUGGGCCAAUGGGACAUUGAAUUUGGCUACUGCUCUAACGUUGUCAGGGUAUUGGAUCUCC